GACUGUGAUUCUCUUUAUCCACUUAGCAAGUUUCAAAUGCCUUUUCCUUUGAUUUAGGAGUAUGCAUUUGACCAGUCCACCCUUGAAGUUUCACACAGUAGCUUCAGAAAACGUGCCUGGUUUAUGAAUCCAAGGUAUAAUUUGGCAUCCUGAGAGUCUGCCUUAGCAAGAAAGACGUGGGAAAUAAUCCUGAAAAGAAAACUGAAACAAUAAGAAAGACACAACUUAUUUUUUAUGGUUGUCAGCUUCCUUACAAAUAUGGACACUUUUCCCAACAUUUUUCCACCUGGUGGAGACAGUAUGUUAAAUGCUGAAUCUGAACUGCAGCAAGUGUUAAUUGAUGAAAGGGUACGAUGUGAACAUCAUAAAACGAAUUAUCAGACUCUGAAAAUUGAACAUACAAGGUUGCAGGAGGAGUACAAAAAAUCACAAAAUGAACUUAAACAACUGUUAAAUGAAAGGCAAAGUAACCAGGAAAACUUCCAGUUGCUAUUGGAAGACAUAAGAAGGGACUUAGUAGAAAAAACUAAAGACUUGGAAGAAGCGAAAUUGCAGGUGAGAA